rnacentral:rRNA from 1 species
UACGUAGGGGGCAAGCGUUGUCCGGAAUCAUUGGGCGUAAAGCGAGCGUAGGCGGCCCGAUAAGUCUGCUGUGAAAGUCAACGGCUCAACCGUUGAAAGCCGGUGGAUACUGUCGGGCUAGAGUUCGGAAGAGGCAAGUGGAAUUCCUGGUGUAGCGGUGGAAUGCGCAGAUAUCAGGAGGAACACCGAUAGCGAAGGCAGCUCGCUGGGACGGUACUGACGCUGAGGCGCGAAAGCUAGGGGAGCAAACGGG